AUUUUGGUAGCUUAGUGGUUAUAGUAUCAGCCUCCAACUCUAAGGUACUGGGUUCGAAUCUCGCCAAAGGA
rnacentral:tRNA from 1 species